rnacentral:rRNA from 1 species
CAGUGAUGGCCGUGUAGUGGACUGCCAUGGCGUUGACGGGAGCGGGGGAUUAGGGUUCGAUUCCGGAGAGGGAGCCUGAGAAAUAGCUACCACUUCUACGGAGGGCAGCAGGCGCGCAAAUUGCCCAAUGUCAAGAAAAACAAAAGAUGAGGCAGCGAAAAGAAAUAGAGCCGAGAGCGCCUUUGGCGUUGUCGUAUUCAAUGGGGGAUAUUUAAACCCAUCCAAAAUCGAGUAACAAUUGGAGGACAAGUCUGGUGCCAGCACCCGCGGUAAUUCCAGCUCCAAAAGCGUAUAUUAAUGCUGU